rnacentral:piRNA from 1 species
UCAUGCUUAGUCCAGCAGUUUCCUCUU